UCGAAAACCCACCUCCACCGAUCCACCAUUCCACCUCCGGUGUCCGGUCCUCCACAACUUCACCUCCGCUCUAGCCUUCAACGUGGUAGAAUUUCAAAGGUAAGUUUGCUGUUAACCCUAAUUCUUGUUAACGGUUUUCUAAUUUUUCAAUGUCUUCUCCCCUUUUUGCUUUUUGAUUUUGAUUGUGAUUUUGAUUUUUGCUGUUAACGAUUUUCUGAAUUUGAUUUUGAGACACUGAAUCUUGGGGGGAUUUUGAUUGUGUUUACACUUUACAUAUUGUUCUAUUUUUUUUAGUUCUUUUGAUUGGAUUAAUGUGAUUUUCUUUUCUUGAAUGAUGAUUUUUCUUUUGUUGCAAAUUUGUUCUUUUAUUAAAACCGAAAAAGGAAGAAAAUCAAUAGAAUUGGAUUUAGAGUUUAUGGAAUCUAAAAAAACUGAAAAAAUAACCCUCCAAAUUGACUGCUUAAAUUAAACUAAACUAAUAUGUCACUGUCAUUAACAACAAAUUUCAUUUUGGAUGAGAAUUAAGAGCAAAAUUGUAUUAUUCAAUUAUUAUUGGAUGAGAAUUGAUUUAUGUUUUAUAGAACAUGUAAUUUGCAGGGCUGAAUUCUGAGAUCACAUACAAGUAUAUUUUUUCUGCUUCUUUCAUGCAUGCUGGUUCACAAACAGCAGGUGGUAGCCUUGUCAAGGCUUGCGGUAGCUUGGGUGCU
rnacentral:lncRNA from 1 species